rnacentral:rRNA from 1 species
GACGACGCUGGCGGCGUGGAUUAGGCAUGCAAGUCGAACGGUAGGAUACCUUCGGGUAUCUGAGAGUGGCGAACGGGUGAGUAACACGUAGGUGAUCUACCCUCAAGAUUGGGACAACCCAGGGAAACUUGGGCUAAUACCGGAUGAAAGCAGCAGUGAUGUUGUUUGAAAGGUGGCGUAAGCUGCCGUUUGGGGAUGAGCCUGCGCUCUAUUAGUUAGUUGGCGGGGUAAAGGCCCACCAAGGCGAUGAUAGAUAGGCGGCCUUAACGGGUGGCCGCCCACACUGGGAUUGAGAUACGGCCCAGACUCCUACGGGAGGCAGCAGUCGAGAAUAGUCUACAAUGGCCGAAAGGCUGAUAGUGCGACGCCGCGUGAACGAAGAAGCCCUUCGGGGUGUAAAGUUCUUUUAUAUGUGAGCAGUGCUUUCUAUGUGAACAGCAUGGGGAGAGAGAUAUUAGCAUAUGAAUAAGCAACGGCUAACUCCGUG